GGGGGUGUAGCUCAGUUGGCUAGAGUACGUGAAUGGCAUUCACGGGGUCACGGGUUCGAAUCCCGUCACCUCCA
rnacentral:tRNA from 1 species